GCAGUCGAGCGGGCGAGGUUGCUUCGGUAACUGAGCUAGCGGCGGACGGGUGAGUAAAGCUUAGGAAUCUGCCUAUUAGUGGGGGACAACAUUCCGAAAGGAAUGCUAAUACCGCAUACGUCCUACGGGAGAAAGCAGGGGAUCUUCGGACCUUGCGCUAAUAGAUGAGCCUAAGUCAGAUUAGCUAGUUGGUGGGGUAAAGGCCUACCAAGGCGACGAUCUGUAGCGGGUCUGAGAGGAUGAUCCGCCACACUGGGACUGAGACACGGCCCAGACUCCUACGGGAGGCAGCAGUGGGGAAUAUUGGACAAUGGGCGGAAGCCUGAUCCAGCCAUGCCGCGUGUGUGAAGAAGGCCUUUUGGUUGUAAAGCACUUUAAGCGAGGAGGAGGCUACCUAGAUUAAUACUCUGGGAUAGUGGACGUUACUCGCAGAAUAAGCACCGGCUAACUCUGUGCCAGCAGCCGCGGUAAUACAGAGGGUGCGAGCGUUAAUCGGAUUUACUGGGCGUAAAGCGUGCGUAGGCGGCUUUUUAAGUCGGAUGUGAAAUCCCUGAGCUUAACUUAGGAAUUGCAUUCGAUACUGGGAAGCUAGAGUAUGGGAGAGGAUGGUAGAAUUCCAGGUGUAGCGGUGAAAUGCGUAGAGAUCUGGAGGAAUACCGAUGGCGAAGGCAGCCAUCUGGCCUAAUACUGACGCUGAGGUACGAAAGCAUGGGGAGCAAACAGGAUUAGAUACCCUGGUAGUCCAUGCCGUAAACGAUGUCUACUAGCCGUUGGGGGCCUUUUGAGGCUUUAGUGGCGCAGCUAACGCGAUAAGUAGA
rnacentral:rRNA from 1 species